rnacentral:rRNA from 1 species
CCUACGGGAGGCAGCAGUGAGGAAUAUUGGUCAAUGGGCGAGAGCCUGAACCAGCCAAGUAGCGUGAAGGAUGAAGGCCCUACGGGUUGUAAACUUCUUUUGUCAGGGCGCAAUUGGGGACACGCGUGGGCUUAGCGAGAGUACCUGAAGAAAAAGCAUGGGCUAACUCCGUGCCAGCAGCCGCGGUAAUAAGGAGGAUGGGAGCGUAAGCAGGUUUUAUUGGGUGUAAAGGGUGCGUAGGCGGGUUAUCAAGUCAGCGGUAAAAUUUCGGGGCUCAACCCCGUCGUGCAGUUGAAACUGAUGUUCUUGAGUGGGCGAGAGGUAUGCGGAAUUCGUGGUGUAGCGGUGAAAUGCAUAGAUAUCACGCAGAACUCCGAUUGCGAAGGCAGCUUACCGGCGCCCAACUGACGCUGAAGCACGAAAGCGUGGGUAUCGAACAGGAUUAGAUACCCCAGUAGUC